rnacentral:rRNA from 1 species
AGCAGCCGCGGUAAUUCCAGCUCCAAUAGCGUAUAUUAAAGUUGUUGCAGUUAAAAGCUCGUAGUUGAAUUUCGGGAUCAAUUUAUCGGUCGUGCCAAUGGUAUGAACUGGUACAAUUGGUUUCUCCCUUCUGACGAAGCAUGAUGCCAUUAAUUUGGUGUCGUGGGGAAUCAGGACUGUUACUUUGAAAAAUUAGAGUGUUUAAAGCAAGCAUUAGCUUGAAUACAUUAGCAUGGAAUAAUGAAAUAGGACGUUUGAUCCUAUUUCGUUGGUUUCUAGGAUCGACGUAAUGAUUAAUAGGGAUAGUUGGGGGCAUUAGUAUUCAAUUGUCAGAGGUGAAAUUCUUGGAUUUAUUGAAGACUAACUACUGCGAAAGCAUUUGCCAAGGAUGUUUUCAUUAAUCAAGAACGAAAGUUAGGGGAUCGAAGACGAUCAGAUACCGUCGUAGUC